rfam:Gossypium hirsutum cultivar TM-1 unplaced genomic scaffold scaffold1148.1, whole genome shotgun sequence
UGUUAAAAAUUUUAUCCAUUUUCACCGUAAAAAUUGGCGUGGUUAACAACAUAACCUGAUGCCACAUGUAUUUCUUGUUGAUAUACAUGGACCAAUUUUUUAUAAUAGAAAUGUAUAGAAUUUUUAAUA